UUGAACGCUGGCGGCAUGCCUUACACAUGCAAGUCGAACGGUAGAGGGGCAACCCUUGAGAGUGGCGAACGGGUGAGUAAUAUAUCGGAACGUGCCCAGUCGUGGGGGAUAACGCAGCGAAAGCUGCGCUAAUACCGCAUACGAUCUAUGGAUGAAAGCGGGGGAUCGCAAGACCUCGCGCGAUUGGAGCGGCCGAUAUCAGAUUAGGUAGUUGGUGGGGUAAAAGGCC
rnacentral:rRNA from 1 species